rnacentral:rRNA from 1 species
UAACGCGUGGAUAACCUGCCUCACACAGGGGAGUAACAGUUAGAAAUGACUGCUAAUACCGCAUAAGCGCACGGCAUCGCAUGAUGCAGUGUGAAAAACUCCGGUGGUGUGAGAUGGAUCCGCGUCUGAUUAGGUAGUUGGUGGGGUAACGGCCCACCAAGCCGACGAUCAGUAGCCGACCUGAGAGGGUGACCGGCCACAUUGGGACUGAGACACGGCCCAA